AACCGCACGGGAUAAGUAUUAUUCCGUGCGGGCCUCUUAGAGGACCGCACGGGAUAAUUCUUAUUCCGUGCGGCC
rnacentral:pre_miRNA from 11 species